GUCCUCAUUCGGGGCAGAAGCACAGGAAUAGAAUCAUUAAGCUGAAAAAUGGGGUUAUUAAGCAGGAGUAGCAAUUACUGCCGCAUGCAGGACAACGAGGAGAUAUUGAUCAGUUGUCAUGAGUCAAAGUAAACACUGAGAUCAGUGUUUGAUUGGUAAAUAAAUCCUUGCCAUUCUUUAGGGUGUCUCACUUCCCAUCUAUGCUAAACGCCAUAUAAAAGUUCCUGUGUCUUAAAGCUCUUCAUUCAGUCAACUUUAAUCUUCUAAAUGUGUUUCCAAUGGCUGAGGAAGAUCUUUCAGUUUCUCCGAGGGAGAUGCUCCCGCCAGAACAGGGGUUACAGCAAUGACAUCUCCUCGCACUAUGGGGGCACACCAAGACUGCAGGGACGCGGCUCCUUUUUCUGCAGCGGAGAGGGCUCCAUCAUCUACAGCCGGGGAGCUGCACCCACAUACUCCCCCUAUAGCGUCACGGCGGGGUGCACACCCGGCAGCGAUGGGGUUGUUGUAAUAUCCGGGGGUGAUAAUGAAGGUGCAUCGGGAUGGAGCACAAUGGGGGGGACAGUCCCAACCUACAGCCCCCGGGGGGCAGCAGGAUAUGGCUCUGAGGACGCAGGAUGGGGUAUGGUUGGUGGUUCAGCGGGUGGUGGAGGAUCAGGAUGCUACAGUGGGAAAUUGGGUGUUGGGAGAGGUUCUGGCUAUGGGUAUGAUGCACCGCAGAGACAAAAGGCUGUAACCACAAGUGCUGGACAGGGGCUGUAUGGUGGAGCAUCGGGCUAUGGUACCGGGGGAGAGCUCAGCUCUGGAGGUGCUGGGAUGGCACAGGUCAUGCAGCAGAAGUGCCCCGUGGUCAUCCCCGACAUUGAGCCCCAACAGAUCAAGCAGAGCAGCCAGUGGCCCCCCAGCCAGAAGAAAUGAAGGACCCCACAGAUCUCUGUGCUCCAGAUGUGCCACGCUGCAGCUUUUGCCAUGGACCAGGAGCUCUGCAUUCCACCCAUCAGGCUGUGCUUCCAGCACUGGGACAGGGAUCUGUGCUUCAGUGACAGGAAAAAAUCCCUUCCACCCUCUCCUUUUUCUCAUGGGUUGGGAAAAGAUUCCUCCCUUCUUCUCCUUUCUCUCAUGGGUUGGAAAAUCAAACUUCAUGCUCUAUAGGAACGUCAGCUUCAGGAUGAUUUACUUCAUUCUUCCCUCCUGUAUGUACAGACGCCCAAAGAGAUCAAGAUGGGCUGCAGAAGAUUGAUUUUCCUAUUGAUACGAUAUGUACUUUACAACUAAAUUAAUUAACUGUCACAUUGAUUAACAUGUUAAAAUACACAAUUAAAAUACACCAUUUACGACAGCAGGAAAAGCCGCUUCCUUUGGCUCUGGCAGACAUCAGAGUCCCUCGUGCUGCUCCCACAUUCCCAAUGGGGUCCCUCAGCACUGCACACAGCCCGGCCCCUACGAGCAGAGCUGCAUAACGCCCAGGUGAUUUCCCCGUGAUUAUUAUUUACUACGUGACCUUGAGAAUGCAGCUCUGUUUACUGGGAGCAAUUUCAUG
ensembl:lncRNA